rnacentral:rRNA from 1 species
UAACGCGUGGGUAACCUGCCCUUUUGUGGGGGAACAACUUCGAGAAAUCGGAGCUAAUACCGCAUAAUAAUAGAGGAUCGCAUGAUUCUUUAAGGAAAGAUGGCCUCUGAAGAUGCUAUCGCAAAAGGAUGGACCCGCGUCUGAUUAGCUAGUUGGAAGGGUAACGGCCUACCAAGGCAAUGAUCAGUAGCCGGCCUGAGAGGGUGAACGGCCACAUUGGGACUGAGACACGGCCCAAACUCCUACGGAAGGCAGCAG